UGAGAUUACAGGUGUGUGCCACUAUGCUUACGAAUUUUGUUUUGUAUUAUUUGCAGAGAUGGGAUCUCACCAUAUUGCCCACACUGGUCUCGAACUCCCAGGUUCAAACCAUCCUCCUGACUCAGCCUCCCAAAGUGCUGCGACUAUAGGCGUGAGUCAUGGCACCUGGCCUGGAGCGCCUUUUCUAUGGAAACCAGAAGACCCCUAAAACUCAUCUUUCUUUUUGCCUGAGGGAUUAUCCCAUUGUGAUGACCUUGACUUUGAAGGAAGCAUGGUUAUGUCCCCUGAAGCCCUGGUCCACAUGAAGCUCUUCCUGCUUUUCUUCAGAGGAAGAUGCAGGAGCUGGUUAAUGGAAUGGAUUUUGCAUUCAGACAUCUCUUGGGGCUGCCUGUAGGUGGAUAUGUUCAUGGAAGACGGUGAAAAAGACAAGAAUAGGAUUUGCUGUAUAGAAUCACUAUAGUCACCAUCACACUGAGUAUCAACAACAUCUCUUGUUAUCCUCACAACUGUGCAAAACAGAUAUCCGACAGAGAGAAAGAGAAUGUGAUUGACUCUUAACUAGAGUCACGCACCACUCUGGAUCAAUCAUCUGAGGCCUGGGAGAAGUGUCAUAACACAGGCUGGAGUGCAGUGGCACAAUCUCAACUCACUGCGACUUCCUCUUCCCAGGUUCAAGUGAUACUCCUACCUCGGCCUCCAGAGUAGCUGGGAUUACAGGCUCGCACCACCACGCCCAGCUGAUUUUUGUAGUUUUAGUAGAGAUGGGGUUUCACCAUGUUGGCCAGGCUGGCCUCAAACUCCAGCAAGGUCAAUAUUUUAAAAACCAUGUAAGGAAGAAGGAAUUGAGGGAGAGUCACUAACUGGGGUCCCAAUGGCAUUAGCUUUUUGGCACUAGACAAGUUCCUAAACCAUAAAGUGGCUGAGUAGGAAGUGGUUUAUCCCACGUACAUACAGUUGUGCACCUUUAGAAUUAUUAACCGGUUAACAUUCCGGAGUGACCCCCAUUCUGGCAAGACUAGGACUAAAGAAACUCUGUUUGCCUUUUGGCUGAUGACAGGGCUCAGCAUGACAGGGCUCAGCAAUACCUCCCCUUACAACAGAAGUAUGAAGCAGAUCUUGAGGAAUCUGAGAAAGAUUAGAAUCUCUCUCCCUUUUUGUUUUAUAGCACAGUAUAUCAUAAUGGCACUGGGCUAUAGUUGAUUCAGUUAGCUGUUAAUUGAACAUCUAUUAUGCUCAAAACACUUUGGGGUCUAUAGGCCAAUCAACAUGGGGACUAUUCUCUAAGAAGCUGUUAUGCAAACUCCACUUGAACAGAGUGCAAUGGUUGUUUAGAAGAUAAGCUCUGACAAAUGAUUUGGGAACAAAAAAAGGCUCCAUGUAGUCAGGAAAAAGAGAUGUCAGUGAAGUUGGGGGGCUGUUUAGGACAUUAGGGAGAGAAAAACACAGUCUCUAGACAGUACGGAAGAGAAGGCUUUCCUUAAAAGAAAUAUCAAAGAGAUUUUAGGUUGUUAACUUUGGUGCACAAUGUAAACUCAUAUUUACCCCAUGGAAUCUUCAGUAAAUAUUACAUUAUUCACUGAUUUAUCAGAGUCAAUUUUUGGGGGGCCCUUUAAGAAGACAGGUUAGGGCAGCACAUAUACAAACUACCCAAGUAGGGGAAAAAUGCGUGGACUCAUUCUCAAGUUGUUUAUAAUAUGUAGGUGAAGGUCAUCACCCUAGGAUGGCGACUUUGAAAUUCCUAGUCAUCUAUCAGUCUGCCAAUCAGUUAAGCAAAGUAUUGAAAUAACACCCCAUGUGACUAUGUGACCAUCAUAGGACAUGAAAGUAUUGACUGCCUUGACUAACUGUUUGAACUCUACACUGUUUUAUUGUGGGGGGGCACAAAAUGAAAUGACACAGAACCCCUGCCCCUUGGGAACCCACAGCCUAUUGGUGAAAACAGACACAUAAACAUGUAAAAAUAUAAGACAUAAAAUGAAUCAAUAUGACACCAUAAUUGAACUUCAGUAAAGAAAUAAUCUUCAACAAACAUUGACACAUUCCAAGGACAGCAGAAACUCUGAACCAAGAGCGCUGAACUCAGAAAGCCCCUUGAUGUGUGAUGAUUGUUGGACAUUUCUGACAGCAUCACUAUUAGCUGUAUUGAUAACACUUGGGAAAGGUCAAGUUUUGCAAAGACUUUCUGCCCACCAAGAAUAGCAAGGAAUCGAUUGAUUCUGAGCACAAAAACAAUGUCAGAAGCUAGAGGGAAAUGCAGUGCGAUUGCUAUUACUGGGAAGCUCCCCUUCUCUCAAAUAAAUGUCCUGGGAAAUCUACAUUCAACUUCCUGUAGUUAGACUGUUGGACUCUUUGAAUACUCUUGGACCUUUAGCUUUUCACUAGCUUGGUCUUUUGUACCUUCAGUCUGAGCUCAUAGGCUAAUAAUUAAGGAUGUCUUCAUUGACUAUUUAAGGUAACAUCCUUCCGCCAUCACUGUGCUAACACCACACUAAUAAUUUAUUUUUUUGCACUUAAUAUGAAGUCAUCUUCAAUAUUUUAAGUUUGCCUCUUUACCUGUGGCUUGUUCCUCAUUCUCUUCUAGAAUAAAAGCUUCAUGAGUGCAAGAACUACGAUUAUCUUGUAGACAGGGUAGAGGCUAGCCUAAACUAGAUUCCUGUGCACCUCUGCGUGAAUUAGAAAAAAACACCCUCUCCAAAAAGGUGGGUUAGAAAAAGUCACAUCUUCUUGGUAGAUGCCGGUUGCAUGGGUUCAUAGCUUUGACGAGUGGAUUUCAACCCCUCGCUUUUCUUCGGCAUGUCGUACAAGAACUUCAGAAAUAUAUGUUGCAGCCCUGCUUGUCUAGUGCUAUUUGGGAUCACCCCUGGCACAUAGUGAAUGAAUCAAUAUGAUACCGUAAUUGAAUAAGAGGAGACCAUAAUACCCUCUUAGACCUACCAAACAAUCCAUGUUAUACAGCAAUAUCUUAUAUAGGAACAACAACAAUAAAAAACCUUGGAAGGCCUUUGAGACCAACCUUGAUUCCCUUACAGACCAGCUAGAGCCAGUCAGAGGCUCACAGCUGGAACACAACAGCACUUCAAUAGCACAGUAACCAAUUGAGGCUGACUUCUGUGACCUUCUGAUAUUUCAUAAAUGCACCAGCCGCAGGAACUCUUAUUUAAGUACUCCUGUUAGCCUUGUUCUUGCCUACUGACUUUACAGCCCCCUGUACAUGGCUGGGCUAGUGGGACGGAAGCCUUCCAACUGAGCAUCCCUUGCUAGAGGUCCUGUGAGUCCUGACAAAGCCUGUCUCCUGCCUUUUAAGAAUAGCAGAGUCAAAUAAAAUCUUGCCAGUGACUUUGGCCCACGCGUGGAGUGACGCCGACGGAUCUGCCUGAAAUGGAGACAUUAAAGAAUUUUGCAAAGCAAAGAAAAACCCACGGUUGCUUCCAUAAAUCAAAACUUCAAAUAAGAACGCAGCUUUAGCAAUUCAUUCCCUGCAGAAUUAACCUUUGUUUCCCGGCAGGCUGCUUCUAAGAAUAUGCUUCGUGCCUAAAAGGAAAUAGGAGAGCCCUUACAGAAUGGGUUUUAUGUUUACCACGCAGGAGGAAAAGCUGAAAUGAAAGCAAAGUUGAAAAGGAAGCUUGUUUCUAACUAAUCCAGCCUCUAGAUAGAAGUCCUAAGAUGCAAAAGCAAUUAUCAUAUACAUGAAUCUGUGUCCCUACUCACAGAUGCACAAAUGCCACUUCUUCGUCUGCUGUUUCUGUAACUUACUCCUGGCAAGGAUAACAGAGUUCUGGGGACUGGAAAAGGACUCAUCAUCCAGAUUCUUCUCUUCUUUAGGAUUCAACUUGGGACCUCCUCCUGGAAGUCCUCCUGGAUUUGAGAAGUACCCUUCCCCUGUGUCCCCAUAAAACCCUAUGAAUUUCUUUAUUAUUGAAUUUGUCACAUUGUAUUACAGUUAUCUGUUCAUGCGUCAAAGACAAGGGUAUUUUAUUUGACUUUAAAAAAAUCAUUAAAGUCAAAUACUUAGCACAUUGUCUGGAAUAGAAUGACAUCUCAGUAAGGUCUUAAUGAAAUAGUCAAUGGACCAUUCUGUUAACAGUUGCCUAUCGAACUCAUACUAUUUGUUGUCACUCUGCCACACACUAAGACUGUAUACAAGAAAUAUAACAUGUAAUAACAGUGGUUGCUAUCAUUUUUGAAUAUCUAUUCCAAGUCAGGUACUCUGCUAAUUGCUUUACAAAUGGGUUUCACCUGAAUACGUCGCAGCAGCUAUGACCUUCAUUUCAUAGAUCAGACUGAGACCAUAGUAGAUGAACUGACUUUUCCCCAAAGACACACAACAGGCAAGAGGAAGAACCGGGAGUUGAACCAGUCUCCAAAUCCUCUGAUCUAUUACCCUAUAGGAGUUUGCUUCUCUGACCUUAAGAAACAUGUGAUAUAAUGGGGGUUCGGUGGAGUGGUGUCAAAAGUACAAUGCAUUUGAAAUGCUGGAAAACCAUUAAGUGUCAGACGGUAGGGUGGUGCCUUCAUGGAGAAACAGGGAUCAACGAAGCAGGAGCUCCCUGUGUACUGGAUUAAUCAAGGAAAGAUUCAUGGCGGGUCCAGAACUUGAACUAAAAUCAGAAUGGAAUUUAAAUAUAUGGAGAAGAGAAGGUAAAGUAGAGAAACUUACGUUCAUUGAGUACAGAACAUUGGUCUUGGUAAAGAGAUUGGGUUUUGAAACUGGCAGAAUCUGGCACUGAAUUCAAACCUGCUAUUUUAAAGCUGUGAGAACUUUUGCAAUUUGCCCAACCUUUUGAGCCUCUCCACCACCAUAUGUAAAUAGGCAUAGUAAGACCUCUGGUAUCAGUUAAGAAUGCUUUCAUAUGCAAGUAAAAGACAUGUUGAAAAAUGGUGUAAAACAUAAGGACACAUAUGCAUCUCAGGGUUUGUUGAGUAAUUCAGUGGUGUUAUCAAGAACUCAGGCUCUUUUUGUACAUGCGGUCUCCCAUGCCCAGCUGUUAACUCCUCAUCCUUAUGUGUGAAAGAUGGCUGCCACAGAACCAGCCAUUGCAAUCACAUUCCAAGGCAGAAAGGAGGAGUAUGGGAAGUGCUAACACAACUUGUCCUUUUUAUCAGGAAACUAACUAACGCCUUCCCAAACACUCUUCUUUAGGAAUUUCUCCCCUUUUAUUUCAUGGAACAAAGCUGGGUCUCAUGUUGACUCUGAGCUGCAGGGAGAAUCUAUCUAUCUGCAGCUAUCUAGCCUGACUUUAUUCUCUCCAUAGUAGGAGGUAAGUAGAGGAAAACAGGUUGAGAAUGGCUUUUGGGAUAGCCAAACAAGAGCACUGGCCGUGCCUACCUCACUGGCAGUUUAAGGAUCCAGGAAAAAGAUGCAAGUAAAAGAGCAGUGAAGCACUCAUAGAAAGCAGCCAGGACAUGCUGCUCUGGGGAAACGUUGGACAAAACCAUGAUUAGGCUGGGUGCGGUGGCUCACGACUGUAAUCCCAACACUUUUGGAGGCCAAG
rnacentral:lncRNA from 1 species